rnacentral:rRNA from 1 species
GGGGAAUCUUGGACAAUGGGCGCAAGCCUGAUCCAGCAAUGCCGCGUGGGUGAAGACGGCCUGCGGGUUGUAAAGCCCUUUAGGCGGGGAGGAACGACCGGACGAUAAGACCGUCUGGAAGUGACGUUACCCGCGGAAUAAGCACCGGCUAACUCCGUGCCAGCAGCCGCGGUAAUACGGAGGGUGCGAGCGUUAAUCGGAAUUACUGGGCGUAAAGCGUGCGUAGGCGGAGGGGUCAGUCGGCCGUGAAAGCCCCGGGCUCAACCUGGGAACGGCGGUCGAGACGGCCCGUCUCGAGUGGGCUAGAGGAUCGUGGAAUUCCGGGUGUAGCGGUGAAAUGCGUAGAGAUCCGGAGGAACACCGAUGGCGAAGGCAGCGGUCUGGGGCCACACUGACGCUGAGGCACGAAAGCGUGGGGAGCAAAC